GAUGAAGAACGUAGCGAAAUGCGAUAAGUAAUGUGAAUUGCAGAAUUCAGUGAAUCAUCGAAUCUUUGAACGCACAUUGCGCCCGCCAGUAUUCUGGCGGGCAUGCCUGUUCGAGCGUCAUUUCAACCAUCAAGCCCCAGGCUUGUGUUGGGGACCUGCGGCUGCCGCAGGCCCUGAAAACCAGUGGCGGGCUCGCUGUCACACCGGGCGUAGUAGAUUUUAUCUCGCUCAGGGCGUGCUGCGGGUUCCGGCCGUUAAAAAGCCUUUUUUACCCAAGGUUGACCUCGGGUCAGGUAGGAAGACCCGCUGAACUUAAGCAUAUCAAUAAGCGGAGGA
rnacentral:misc_RNA from 1 species